AUACGGAGGGUGCAAGCGUUAUUCGGAAUCACUGGGCGUAAAGGACGCGUAGGCGGGUUGGCAAGUCAGAUGUGAAAUCCUACAGCUUAAUUGUAGAACUGCAUUUGAAACUGCUAACCUAGAGUAUGGGAGGGGGAGAUGGAAUUAGUGGUGUAGGGGUAAAAUCCGUAGAUAUCACUAGGAAUACCGAAAGCGAAGGCGAUCUCCUGGAACAUAACUGACGCUAAGGCGUGAAAGCGUGGGGAGCAAACAGGAUUAGAAACCCUAGUAGUCC
rnacentral:rRNA from 1 species